CAUCGUACAUGUUCUGGGUGUCUUGAGGAGCUUGUCUUUGGAUGAUGCUGAGCAGGUCUUUCUUUCUGGUAACGAUUAUCAUUACAGUGAAGUAAAAGAAUUUAACAGACAGAUUGACAAACAACUGACGAAAGAAGAGAGACCAUUCUAUAGGUGGGUAUUGCUCUUAUAUACUAAAAAAUAUGGAGUUGGCAGUAAGGUUUCCUGUUUGGUUCUCCCAACAGUGCAUAUAUAUAUAUAUAUAUCUGUGUGUGUAUAUAUAUUAUAGCUAACACUGUAAAGCAAAUGUUUGUUUUUAUACCACUUAUAUUAAAUAUUAAUCUAAAUUUAAUUGCAUAACAAUUGAUUAACCUUUUGAGUUUAUAUACAUGAUUUUACAUAUUCAAGAAUAUCUAUAUACAUUCAUUUUUCUUUUCGACUUAGUCCCUUUAUUUAUCAGGGGUUGCCACAGCAGAAUGAACCGCCAACUUAUGCAGCAUAUGUUUUACACAGUGGAUACCCUUCCAGCCGCAACCCAGUACUGGGAAACACCCAUUUACAAUUAUAUACUUGAACAUGGGGAGAACAUGCAAACUCCACACAGAAAUGACCACUGGCCCAGCCGGGGCUUGAACCAGCAACCUUCUUGCUGUGAGGCGACGGUUUCAACCACUGUGCUGCCCCAUGUGCUCUAUGCGGGUGAGUGGGAUUGACAAACCACCUGGAGGACACAUUCUUGCUGUCUUAAUGCACCAGACAUUUUGUUAUAAAUAAUCAUGUGCGUUUCAUGUUUAUUUAUAAAACUGCUAAUUUAUCUCAUAGCACUUCAUUUUUGUCUUGAUAUUUAAUAUCUUUUGUUUAAAUACACUAUGAACAGCAGCUGCGCUAAUUAUUUUCCUUGUUCCCUAUUUCCACCUGGGGAUAUUUA
ensembl:processed_transcript